rnacentral:rRNA from 1 species
UCCAGUUUAUCCUGCUGGCGGCUGCGGCUAUCUGGUUUGCACUUAGACAUGCAAGUCUCUUUGUUUCGCAAGAAAUUGAGGGCGAACUGCUUAGUAACACGUAGCUAACCUGCUCUGUGGCUGGAAAUAACCUCGGGAAACUGAGGGUAAUGUCCAAUAGAAGAUGAUUUCUGGAAUGAUUUAUCUUUCAACACAGAAUGGGGCUGCGGCUGAUUAGGUAGUUGGCGGGGUAAUAGCCCACCAAGCCAAUGAUCAGUAAGGGCCUUUAGCGAGGAAACCCUAAGAGGGAGUCUGAGACACUACUCCCAGCCCUACGGGGUGCAGCAGUCGGGAAACUUUUGCAAUGCGCGCAAGCGUGACAAAGCAAGCCAGAGUGAUAUUCCUAUUUUUGGAAUUUCUUUUGCGGGAUGUAAAAAGUCCCGUGAAUAAGGAGUGGGAGAGACUGGUGCCAGCCGCCGCGGUAAUCCCAGCAGUCNNNNNNNNNNNNNNNNUUAUUGGGUCUAAAACAUCCGUAGCUUGCAUUGUAAGUCUCUUGUGAAAUCGGGCCUCUUAAGGGUCCGUCGGGCAAGAGAUACUGCUUUGCUAGAGACCGGGAGACGUAAGAAGUACGCAUGGAGUAGCGGUAAAAUGUGUUGAUCCUAUGUGGACUAACAAUAGCGAAGGCAUCUUACGAGAACGGAUCUGACAGUGAGGGAUGAAGGCUAGGGGCGCAAAGUGGAUUAGAUACCCAUGUAGUCCUAGCAGUAAACCCUGCACACUAAACAUCGGGGCCUCCUCGAGAGGUUUCGGUGCUGUAACGAAGGUGGAAAGUGUGCUACCUGGGGAGUAUAGCCGCAAGGCCGAAACUUAAAGGAAUAGGCGGGGGAGUACCACAACGGGUGACGCGUGCGGUUCAAUCAGAUUCUACACCGUGAACCUCACCAGCACCGACAGCAGAAUGAAGGUCAGUCUAAAGGGCUUACCUGACACGCUGAGAGGGGAUGCAGGGCCGACGUCAGCCUGUGUCGUGAGAUGACCAGUUAAAUCUGGUAACAGGCGAGACCCAUGUGUACAUUUAAAUUUGCAAUGUACAGACUGCAGUGGUAACACUGAGGAAGGUGUGGGCUACGUUAGGUGGACCGUCCCAAAUGCGCUGGGCUACACGCGCGCGGCAAUGCUGCAUUCAAAGGGCUGCGACUCCGAAAGGAGAAGCCAAUCUCAUAAACUGCAGCUUAGUUCAGAUUGAGGAUUGCAACUCAUCCUCAUGACGCUGGAAUCCGUAGUAAUCGGGCUUUAUCAGAACCCGGUGAAUAAGUCAAUGCUCCUUGCACUCACCGAAAUAAAUGUGCUCGGCAGUUUCAUAAUCUUCAACUCGUAAGAGUUGGAGAGACAGAGAAUUUUAUUCUCUGGAAAUCUAGU